rnacentral:rRNA from 1 species
AUUGAACGCUGGCGGAAUGCUUUACACAUGCAAGUCGGGCGGCAGCGCGGGGGCAACCCUGGCGGCGAGCGGCGAACGGGUGAGUAACACAUCGGAACGUACCCUGUCGUGGGGGAUAACGAAUCGAAAGAUUCGCUAAUACCGCAUACGACCUGAGGGUGAAAGCGGGGGAUCGCAAGACCUCGCGCGAGAGGAGCGGCCGAUGGCGGAUUAGCUAGUUGGUAGGGUAAAGGCCUACCAAGGCGUCGAUCUGUAGCUGGUCUGAGAGGAUGGCCAGCCACACUGGAACUGAGACACGGUCCAGACUCCUACGGGAGGCAGCAGUGGGGAAUUUUGGACAAUGGGCGCAAGCCUGAUCCAGCCAUGCCGCGUGAGUGAAGAAGGCCUCGGUUG